CAAACGCGCCUUACAUUUCAAAUUUAAAUCUUAUAAUGCCUUCUAUAAUCGCAAUUAAAAGAUGUCGCCAACCUUUAAACACGAUAGAAUUCUGCUUAUGGAACUGCACUGUUGGAAAUGAUCCUAGUGUGGAACUGUUCCGUCGAACCUGCACAACUUGCGGCCGCCGAAAAAUGUACAGGAUAUAAAAGGAAAUAAGGAUGUAACUAGUGCAUUAAUGUGAUUUUAUUAUAAAAAUCUUAAACAUAAAAUUAAAGCGAAAAACUGAAUUAGCUCUACGGGGAAACCACCGUGAACUUUAACCUAUCAACCUGGAAGUUUGACCAGAACCUCAUUGAUAACGAGAAAGUCUAAAAGUUUCAGCUUUCUAGACCCAGUAGUUUUUUCUCUACGAGCAUCUGCAGUGCCGGUGAAGAAAGAGGAGGAGGAGAAGAAAAUACAGCGGUUUUUUUCGGCGAGUUUUGCACUUUUCAGUUGCAUUUAUUUCGGCAACCGCUUUAUAGAAAAUCUUGAAAAUUUGCACACUAUCUAAGAAAACAAUUUUCUUUCGAACAAGAUAUUCGGAAUUACUUCAGGUGUUUUGGGGCCGGAGAAAUCGACCCCCGAAAAUCAGCAACUCUGAAUUCCUGUAUAUACUCGUAUAGUCAGUGACUUUUUUACUUGGCGGGGAGUCACUGCUGUUAUUGCUGAUCAUUAACUAUACUUUACUUGAAAAGUAAGUCAUUAAAAACCAAUCUUAGAAGUUUAGACUAUUUUAAUUUUGACCCUCUACCUAUUGUCAAUCAAGUUGUGCAGGUCUGGCUAGACGGUUCUGUCGGAAUUACCUAAUCUGUUGUACUAAACGGUUCCUCGUCGGUUUAUAUAUAUAUAUGCUGUAUAUAGAUAAUAAAAUGUUGUGUCUUUCUGUUCUUAGCUUUUUGGUCACUCUGCUCCAAAUUUUUCAUGCUUAUUAUCUGGGAAUCCAAGGAAAAUGUAUACUAUGAAACUGGACAGCCUACUUUUCCCGAUUUCAUCCCCCUUAUUAACUCUUAAACCUUUCGCCCGAUUUGCACCAAAUUUUUUAUACAUAUCCCUGGAACUUCGAGGAAAAUUAAAGAUUUCCAUUAAAUCUGGAUGCUCUUCUCCUGAGUUGAUAUCCUCGAUACUUUGUGAUAAACAGAACAAUGGUAAGCAAAAAGAACGAAACUUUUAAUAUGAUUUUCAUUUUAACGUUUAUCCCUUUACUUUUUGGCCGGGAAAUGCCGGACAUACAGUGGUGCCUCGUA